AUACUACUCCCUCGUCCCGAAAUUCUCGUCUUAAAUUUGUCUAAAUAUGAAUGUAUCAAGUCACGUUUUAGUAUUAGAUACAUCCAUACCUAGACAAAUCUAAGACAAGAAAUUUGGGACGGAGGGAGUAUGAU
rfam:Triticum aestivum genome assembly, contig: Triticum_aestivum_CS42_TGACv1_scaffold_342384_4DL